GAUGAACGCUGGCGGCGUGCCUAAUACAUGCAAGUCGAGCGAACAGACGAGGAGCUUGCUCCUCUGACGUUAGCGGCGGACGGGUGAGUAACACGUGGAUAACCUACCUAUAAGACUGGGAUAACUUCGGGAAACCGGAGCUAAUACCGGAUAAUAUAUUGAACCGCAUGGUUCAAUAGUGAAAGACGGUUUUGCUGUCACUUAUAGAUGGAUCCGCGCCGCAUUAGCUAGUUGGUAAGGUAACGGCUUACCAAGGCAACGAUGCGUAGCCGACCUGAGAGGGUGAUCGGCCACACGGGAACUGAGACACGGUCCAGACUCCUACGGGAGGCAGCAGUAGGGAAUCUGCCGCAAUGGGCGAAAGCCUGACGGAGCAACGCCGCGUGAGUGAUGAAGGUCUUCGGAUCGUAAAACUCUGUUAUUAGGGAAGAACAAAUGUGUAAGUAACUGUGCACGUCUUGACGGUAACUAAUCAGAAAGCCACGGCUAACUACGUG
rnacentral:rRNA from 1 species